GACGAACGCUGGCGGCGUGCCUAACACAUGCAAGUCGAGCGGGGUUGAAGCGAGGGGUAACUCGAGUUUCUACCUAGCGGCGGACGGGUGAGUAACGCGUGGGCAACCUGCCUCAAGGACUGGGAUAACAGCUCGAAAGGGCUGCUAAUACCGGAUAAGCCUAUGGCCUCGCAUGGAGCCAUGAGCAAAGGGGAAACCCGCCUUGAGAUGGGCCCGCGUCCCAUCAGCUAGUUGGUGAGGUGAAGGCUCACCAAGGCGACGACGGGUAGCCGGCCUGAGAGGGUGACCGGCCACACUGGGACUGAGACACGGCCCAGACUCCUACGGGGGGGCAGCAGUGGGGAAUCUUGCACAAUGGGCGAAAGCCUGAUGCAGCGACGCCGCGUGAGCGAAGAAGGCCUUCGGGUUGUUAAAGCGUCUGUCUGAGGGACGAAGGAAGUGACGGUACCUCCGGGGAAGCCACGGCUAACUACGUGCCAGCAGCCGCGGUAAACGUAGACGUG
rnacentral:rRNA from 1 species